CUAUACAGAGGAAUUUCGUUUUCCUUACGCAAACCAACUCGUUGGAAUAUAUAUUUGAGGCAACCACAGAAUUCACUCACUUUGCUUUCAAUCAAGGUAGCUGCAGAUCAACUCAUCAAUUGAUUGUCCGUUUCUUUUCGCUGAGUCCGGGCUUGAGCAACGGAAGUGGAUAACCAACACAGAAGUGGAAGAGUCGAAAUCAAACACGAUACAGAUUUCCAGUUAAUGGGUGACAUUAAAAAAGCGAUUGAGUACCUUAAACAAGAUUUGACGACUGCGGUAGAAAAUGGUGAUCGGGAACGAGAACGGGGAGCCUAUAGAAGUCUCGGUAUUGCGUACCAGUUACUGGGUGACUAUCGAAAAGCCAUUAAGUAUCAUGAAAAACAUUUAAAGAUUGCAAU